CGGGACUAGUGAUCCGGCGGUGGCUUGUGGAAGCGCCGUCGCUCAACGGAUAAAAGGUACCCCGGGGAUAACAGGCUGAUCUUCCCCAAGAGUCCAUAUCGACGGGAUGGUUUGGCACCUCGAUGUCGGCUCGUCGCAUCCUGGGGCUGGAGUCGGUCCCAAGGGUUGGGCUGUUCGCCCAUUAAAGCGGUACGCGAGCUGGGUUUAGAACGUCGUGAGACAGUUCGGUCCCUAUCCGCUGUGCGCGUAGGAAUAUUGAGAAGGGCUGUCCCUAGUACGAGAGGACCGGGACGGACGAACCUCUGGUGUGCCAGUUGUUCUGCCAAGGGCAUGGCUGGUUGGCUACGUUCGGGAGGGAUAACCGCUGAAAGCAUCUAAGCGGGAAGCCUGCUUCGAGAUGAGUGUUCCCACCUCCUUGAGAGGGUAAGGCUCCCAGUAGACGACUGGGUUGAUAGGCCGGAUAUGGAAGCCCUGUAAGGGGUGGAGUUGACCGGUACUAAUAGGCCGAGGGCUUGUCCUCAGUUG
rnacentral:rRNA from 1 species